rnacentral:rRNA from 1 species
UACGGAGGAUGCGAGCGUUAUCCGGAUUUAUUGGGUUUAAAGGGUGCGUAGGCGGGUUAUCAAGUCAGAUGUGAAAUCCUAUGGCUUAACCAUAGAACUGCAUUUGAAACUGUUAUUCUAGAGUAUGGGAGAGGUAGGUGGAAUUCUUGGUGUAGGGGUAAAAUCCGUAGAGAUCAAGAGGAAUACUCAUUGCGAAGGCGACCUGCUAGAACAUAACUGACGCUGAUGCGCGAAAGCGUGGGGAGCAAACAGG